AUGGAAGAUUGGAAACAUAAGAGCCACCAUAAAGAAGAGAAAUUGUCCCCUGGGAAAAGAGAGAAGCAGCACAGCUGCCAGCCAUUGGAACUUCCACAUGGGAAGCUGACAGGAAGCAGGCCCAGCACAGGACACAGGUUCCAGAGAUGGCCUCAUCCUCAUCAGGCCACACACAAAGGUGUCUUACUGCAUUCUAGGUGUUAUAAUGAAUGCAAGUGGAUAAAGCCGGGUCCCGAAGGGCCUAGUGAUGAACAGCAAAGAGACCAUUCCUAAG
rnacentral:lncRNA from 1 species